UGAGGAAUUUUGCGCAAUGGCCGCAAGGCUGACGCAGCAACGCCGCGUGGGUGAAGAAGGCCUUCGGGUCGUAAAGCCCUGUCAGGUGGGAAGAACGACCGGGAAGUGAACAGCUUUCCGGUGUGACGGUACCACCAGAGGAAGCACCGGCUAACUCCGUGCCAGCAGCCGCGGUAAUACGGAGGGUGCGAGCGUUAAUCGGAAUUACUGGGCGUAAAGCGUGCGCAGGCGGUUUUGUAAGACAGAUGUGAAAUCCCCGGGCUUAACCUGGGAACUGCGUUUGUGACUGCAAGGCUGGAGUACGGCAGAGGGGGGUGGAAUUCCACGUGUAGCAGUGAAAUGCGUAGAGAUGUGGAGGAACACCGAUGUCGAAGGCAGCCCCCUGGGCCUGUACUGACGCUCAUGCACGAAAGCGUGGGGAGCAAACA
rnacentral:rRNA from 1 species